AUUGAACGCUGGCGGCAGGCCUAACACAUGCAAGUCGAGCGGAGCGGGCGACGGGUGAGUAAUGCAUAGGUAUAUGCCUGGCAGAUGGGGAUACCGUCCGGAUAGGGGCGGUAAUACCGCACACUAUCCGUUGAGUCUAGGUCGGAUUAGCUAGUUGGUGGGGUAAAGGCCUACCAAGGCGACGAUCAGUCCCUGGUCUGAGAGGAUGAUCAGUAACACUGGAACUGAGACACGGUCCAGACUCCUACGGGAGGCAGCAGUGGGGAAUAUUGGACAAUGGGCGCAAGCCUGAUCCAGCCAUGCCGCGUGUGUGAAGAAGGUCUUCGGAUUGUAAAGCACUUUAAGUUGGGAGGCGUUACCAACAGAAUAAGCACCGGCUAACUUCGUGCCAGCAGCCGCGGUAAUUC
rnacentral:rRNA from 1 species